AUUGAACGCUGGCGGCAUGCCUUACACAUGCAAGUCGAACGGCAGCACGGGAGCAAUCCUGGUGGCGAGUGGCGAACGGGUGAGUAAUAUAUCGGAACGUACCUUUCAGUGGGGGAUAACGUAGCGAAAGUUACGCUAAUACCGCAUAUUCUGUGAGCAGGAAAGCAGGGGAUCGCAAGACCUUGCGCUGAUUGAGCGGCCGAUAUCAGAUUAGCUAGUUGGUGAGGUAAAGGCUCACCAAGGCGACGAUCUGUAGCGGGUCUGAGAGGAUGAUCCGCCACACUGGAACUGAGACACGGUCCAGACUCCUACGGGAGGCAGCAGUGGGGAAUUUUGGACAAUGGGCGCAAGCCUGAUCCAGCCAUGCCGCGUGAGUGAAGAAGGCCUCGG
rnacentral:rRNA from 1 species